rnacentral:lncRNA from 1 species
GUUCAGAACUCAGGUUGCCGGGCAUUGAAUGAGCAAUUAUCACAUUGUUGAAGCCUUGGCUGGUGCCUACACCCUCCCACACAGGACCUCACGCUCCCAUAGAAGCCACCCACAGAGGCAGCACCUUAAAGUGUGAUGUGGUGAGCAACGCAAGUGGCCAUCUGUGGAUAGACAUAUAUGACUUGAAGCCGGCUCAGGGGCUGAGUAGCUAGCUAGCUAGAGCAUUUGCCUGGAUCCCAGAUUUCCCAAGGCUUCCUUUCGACUACGACAAAGUGUGAC